rnacentral:rRNA from 1 species
UACGGAGGGGGCGAGCGUUAUUCGGAAUUAUUGGGCGUAAAGAGCUCGUAGGCGGCCUGUUGCGUCCGCUGUGAAAUCCCGGGGCUCAACCCCGGGCCUGCAGUGGAUACGGGCUGGCUAGAGGCAGGCAGGGGAGAACGGAAUUCCUGGUGUAGCGGUGAAAUGCGCAGAUAUCAGGAGGAACACCGGUGGCGAAGGCGGUUCUCUGGGCCUGUACUGACGCUGAGGAGCGAAAGCGUGGGGAGCGAACAGG